AGAUAGUAUUCAUAGUAGGAAGUGCUAGUAGUCAAAUGACCUGAAUGCUUCAUUCUGUCUGCUGGAGAUAAGUGGAAACUGGAUUUGUAGACACUUUAUGAAAUACUGCUCUUCAGUUUCAAGGGGUGCUUUUACAGUUGAAGAUUACUGUUUUGCAUUGUGAUAUCACAUUACAUUAUUUGUUUUGCAGAAAUAACUGGUAAGGGCCUGUUUACGUAAACUGAUGAUGUCUGCUUGACAGAAUUUAGAUAACUUUUUUGAAGGGUUUCAAUACAUUUUCUUUCUGCUCCUUUUGUCCCAACAAACUUAGAAAGACAAGAAGACUUCUUCAAUAUUUUUUUCUGGAGUUUGGAUUUCUAUUAAAUAUAUAUAAAUAUAUAAUUCAGUUAGCUAUUUCUGUCACUGUGGAUAAUCCUGGUGUUACUUCUGGAGUCAAAGAACAACAAUAUAUACAUACAUAUUUUCCUAAAGGUAGUCUGUUGUAAACAAAUCUUUUUAAUAUUUAAAGUUGUUCUCUCUAAUGCCAAGAUUGUUUGUUCUGUUAUCUUUUAAAAACUAUUCUCGGCAUAGACAAUGAAAAUGGGAAAACUGGUAAUUAGGUUCAGCAUCAUGGAUUUGUUCCUUACUUUCUGAGAUGCAUUUUUCCCUUCACUGUUUUGAAUAAAGAAAACACUGCUUAUGUGCAGCUUCCAUGUAGUUGAAAAUGAACAUAAAACUACAUUGUCAUACUGCAUUAAAAGUUCAGUAAAUUAAAAAGAGAUGCAAAAAGGGAGAAGGAAAAAUAACAAAAUAAUAAUAAUAAUAAUAAAAGAGGCAGAAAACAAUGAGGAAACCCAGGUGGAAGAAGCAUUCCUUGACUUCAGAAUUUCAUGAAAUGUAUUUUCAAGACUCUCUGGUCUUGAAAUAUGCAAGCAUGUGUUUUGUUUAUACUAUUCUAAAUAAAGCAAAAUUCUCAUGUUGAGGUUUGUAGAAAAGAAAUAACAGCAUUCAUCUCUAGAGGGAUGAAAAGGUUGGAAAAGGCAGAAGAGUAGUCUGAUUGUCAACACUGACUGUAAAAUGGGAUCUGUUUCUUUGCUACACCUGUUGAUUAUUUAAUUGUAAGGCAUAUGUGGUCUUUACUACUUAUUUCUUUCUCAGAUAUCUCAAUGCUACUUACAAUACUAGCAUUAGAUUCUGUAUAAAAAAGUUCAUAAUUAUAUGCAUAUGCAAAUAGCAGAUGAACAAAAACUAAAUGCUAUUAGUUGUUGAGGAUAAAAAUUUAAGUCAAUUUAAAUUUAAAUUAAUUACAAGUUGAUUGUCUAAUUAAAAUAUAUGAAAUCUGGAAGAAUAUGUGUUGUUUCCAGCCACGAUACUUACGGUUUUUGCAACAGAUGUAAUAUAUUUUGGCCUCUGGAAUAGAUUUAUGUAUUUAAUAUGAAACUGAGAACAUGCAAAAGCUCACAAACAUACUGAGACUGGAGAUUCAGUAGAAGGAAUAACAUCAGAGAAAAGUAAGGACCACACAGAGUAACAUCACAUGGUAAGGAAAUUUUGUCAGGGUUAAAAUUUUGAGUUGCUUUAAAUACAGUGACUCUGUUGAUUUCCAUGAAAAAUGAUUAUUUGGUGUUAAGUACAUUAGCCUGGAAGAUAAGUAAUUUUGUUAUAACCUUCUGCUUUGCAAUCUUACACAAAUCUUCAUGUUGUACAGUCUUCAAAAGUAGCCUUGUGGAAGAAACUCCAACUGAUUAUGUCUUUGUGACAAAGCCUUACAUAGCUGCAGUAGGAAUAAACACAUAAUAAAGGUGUGAAAAGAAUUUAACAGAUAUAAUCCAAUGCUAAACAGAUUGGAGUGAGUUGGAUCUGUGGUCCACUUACACUUUACACUUUAAUAUGCACAUAACUUUCAUGUGUUUUUCAAAUCUUUCCAUAAAGGUGCUAUCACAGACCCAGCUUGGCAUUUGUGCUCAGUCUUGCACAAAAGGAAAUCUUGGAGAGGAAGGCUGAGUUAAUCCACAGCUCAACCCACAAGCACUGCUACUGUAAUAUGUGAGGCUGAUGAAAUCAGGAUGUUUCCAGGAAUAGAAAUAUCCACCUAUAGGCAUUUUUGUUUAGUUUUGUUUUAAUUUAAUCCAUUUUAACUGGAUAGCCUAUAAAACACUUGUGCAUCACAGAACAGAAACAUUUUUUGCCAUUCUAUGUGUACUUUAGAGCCAAACUUGACAGAUCUUCUGUCUUUGGCAGUAUAUUGUAACAGCAGUUCUAUUCACUACAACUUUUACCUUGUUUCAUUAGGUUCAUGUAUACCAGGGCCAAAUUUAUUCUGUUACCAGAAUAAAUAAGAGCACAUCCUAACACAAGAAAAACUUUACUUGCUAGGAUGAAUAUAGUGACUGCCUGGACCAAGAGUAAAUGCCUUAGAUAAAUUAAAAAUGUUUGUUUGUUUGGUUGGUUGGUUUUGUUUUUCUUUAUGUAAAGCAGGCAUCUGCUUUCCAGGUCAUGUUCACUCACGUGAAAAUGCACCAUUUCACAGGAAGUAAGACUUUUAAGGAUAAGCCUCCUUCCAGACAAGAGGAGUCUACAUAUUUAUUUUUUUCAAAAUUCAUAUUGAGAACCAUAUGAGUGGAACAAUAUUUUUAUAUAUUCAUUCAAAAUUAUCAGUGUUGGCAAUGGAAAACAAUGAAGUGUAGCAUCUUCCCAUACUCUGCAGACAUUGCAGAUAGAAUGGCUUUCCUUUUGUUGUCUGUCUAUUCUUUUCCUUUUUAAAGUCACCUACCAGUGUUUUCUGGACUUGCAAAUGGUGGAUAACAGACAUUUGUAAUGGCUAUAGACAAAUUAUUCUGGCAAGUAUCACAUGCUAGAAUGUACAUUGUAAAGAAGGAGGGAAGAAGGUACCUCGUUGUCCUGCUGUAGUAAAGAAAUCAGCAACACUUCCAUGCUGUCAAUUUUAAGAAAUACUGUUUUUUGUUGUUGUUGUUUGUUUUGUUUUGUUAUUUAAAGUGAUUUCUUAUUAUCAUUCCUUGAUGAAAUUUUGCCAUGACCAUGUGGACCCCAAGCAUUUUAAUUUCAGUUGCCUUCUCUGAUAGUACAUGUUUGCAACACAGAGUAGUGCAGGUUGUAAGCAGUGGUGGAGAAGGCACAGUAGCGCAGAAUACCUAGGUGUGUUACUGGUAUUUGCUUUGCUUUUUGCUUGCUAUCUGAAAAGUAAAGAGAAAGUACACAGUA